GAGAAUUCUAGAACCACCCAAGAGUCUUGGUGUGGAGACUGAAAAUGAACCAGCAUUGAAUAGAGACAUGAAUUGGGCAACGUCUCAUCUAUAGAAUGCAACGAAUAUUCCACUGAGCUGAGCUGAGGUGUUGGGCUUUAUAGACAGAAGAAGGUUGAAGAAAGCAGAAACAGGGAACAAAAAUGGAAGGAAGAAGAAAAGAAAAAAGAGAGAGAUCAUGAACUCACUGUUCUACCUCAAGCACUAAGAAUUCCAGUGUAUUGUCUCCUUCUCUUCUUCAUGCAUCUGUGCAGAAAAUGAAAUUAAAUGUUGCUUGCUAUAUA